GAAGUGUGGACGCCAGUCUGCAUGGAGCCGACCUUGAAAUACCACCCUUUAAUGUUUGAUGUUCUAACGUGGACCCGUGAUCCGGGUUGCGGACAGUGUCUGGUGGGUAGUUUGACUGGGGCGGUCUCCUCCUAAAGAGUAACGGAGGAGCACGAAGGUUGGCUAAUCCUGGUCGGACAUCAGGAGGUUAGUGCAAUGGCAUAAGCCAGCUUGACUGCGAGCGUGACGGCGCGAGCAGGUGCGAAAGCAGGUCAUAGUGAUCCGGUGGUUCUGAAUGGAAGGGCCAUCGCUCAACGGAUAAAAGGUACUCCGGGGAUAACAGGCUGAUACCGCCCAAGAGUUCAUAUCGACGGCGGUGUUUGGCACCUCGAUGUCGGCUCAUCACAUCCUGGGGCUGAAGUAGGUCCCAAGGGUAUGGCUGUUCGCCAUUUAAAGUGGUACGCGAGCUGGGUUUAGAACGUCGUGAGACAGUUCGGUCCCUAUCUGCCGUGGGCGCUGGAGAACUGAGGGGGGCUGCUCCUAGUACGAGAGGACCGGAGUGGACGCAUCACUGGUGUUCGGGUUGUCAUGCCAAUGGCACUGCCCGGUAGCUAAAUGCGGAAGAGAUAAGUGCUGAAAGCAUCUAAGCACGAAACUUGCCCCGAGAUGAGUUCUCCCUGACUCCUUGAGAGUCCUGAAGGAACGUUGAAGACGACGACGUUGAUAGGCCGGGUGUGUAAGCGCAGCGAUGCGUUGAGCUAACCGGUACUAAUGAACCGUGAGGCUUAACCUUACAACGCCGAAGCUGUU
rnacentral:rRNA from 1 species